AAGACAACUCUGAAUCUCCAAAUGGCAGAACAUCACCUCUUGUGUCCCAGAAUAAUGAACAAGGCUCAACCUUACGGGAUUUGCUGACUACAACAGCUGGAAAGCUACGUGUGGGGUCUACAGAUGCUGGCAUUGCCUUUGCCCCAGUAUAUUCAAUGGGAGCCCCAAGUAGCAAAAGUGGACGGACUAUGCCUAACAUUCUUGAUGACAUAAUUGCUUCAGUUGUUGAAAACAAAAUUCCACCAAGUAAAACCUCCAAGAUAAAUGUAAAACCAGAGCUUAAAGAAGAGCCUGAAGAAAGCAUAAUAUCUGCAGUGGAUGAAAAUAAUAAAUUAUACAGUGAUAUACCACAUUCUUGGAUCUGUGAGAAGCAUAUUUUAUGGCUUAAGGAUUAUAAGAAUAGCAGUAAUUGGAAGCUUUUCAAAGAAUGUUGGAAACAAGGACAGCCUGCAGUGGUUUCUGGUGUGCAUAAGAAAAUGAACAUUAGCCUAUGGAAGGCGGAAUCAAUUAGUCUUGAUUUUGGAGACCACCAAGCUGAUCUCCUGAACUGCAAAGAUAGCAUCAUUUCAAAUGCCAAUGUUAAGGAAUUCUGGGAUGGUUUUGAAGAAGUUUCAAAACGGCAGAAAAACAAGAGUGGAGAAACAGUUGUUUUAAAAUUGAAAGACUGGCCUUCAGGAGAAGACUUCAAGACUAUGAUGCCAGCAAGAUACGAAGAUCUUUUAAAAAGUCUGCCAUUGCCAGAAUAUUGUAAUCCAGAAGGAAAAUUCAAUUUGGCCUCUCAUUUGCCAGGAUUUUUUGUACGUCCUGAUCUAGGACCCAGGUUGUGCAGUGCCUAUGGUGUAGUUGCUGCUAAAGAUCAUGAUAUAGGAACAACAAAUCUCCAUAUUGAAGUUUCUGAUGUUGUAAAUAUACUAGUUUAUGUUGGCAUAGCAAAAGGAAAUGGCAUUCUCUCAAAAGCAGGAAUUCUCAAGAAAUUUGAGGAAGAAGAUUUGGAUGACAUUUUAAGGAAAAGAUUGAAGGACUCAAGUGAAAUACCUGGUGCUCUGUGGCAUAUUUAUGCUGGGAAAGAUGUUGACAAGAUAAGGGAAUUUCUUCAAAAGGUAUAAAACAAGGCCUUGAAGUUCUACCAGAACAUGAUCCAAUACGUGACCAAAGUUGGUAUGUGAACAAAAAGCUCCGUCAAAGGCUGCUUGAAGAAUAUGGAGUCAGAACCUGUACUCUUAUUCAGUUCCUUGGUGAUGCUAUUGUUUUGCCAGCGGGAGCACUUCAUCAGGUUCAGAAUUUUCACAGCUGUAUUCAGGUAACUGAAGAUUUUGUGUCUCCAGAACAUCUUGUAGAGUCAUUUCAUUUAACACAGGAACUGAGACUUUUGAAGGAAGAAAUCAAUUAUGAUGAUAAACUACAGGUUAAAAAUAUUUUGUAUCAUGCAGUCAAAGAAAUGGUGAGAGCCUUGAAGAUACACGAGGAUGAAGUAG
rnacentral:lncRNA from 1 species